CUGGUCUCGAACUCCUGACCUUAGGUUAUCUGCCCACCUUGGCCUCCCAAAGUGCUAAGUGUAAUCCCAAAGUGUAAUCCCAAAGUGCUGGGAUUGCAGGCAUGUGCUAUGGUCCCUGGCCCUGCCAUGCCUGCUUAUCUGUACAUGUCUAAAGUCUUCCCAUCAUUCAAGACCUCGACUGCCUCCUCCAGGAAGUCUUCCUUGAGUCCCUCCAUCUGGAUGCUCCUCAGCCUUGGUUCCUGCUGCUGCCCUCCACCGUGAGCAGCAGGAAAAUCUACCCUGGAGGUCAACUUGACAUGACAAAGUUGCUCUGUAAGCAACUCCCAGGGUACAUGCUCAGACUCAGCGGCCUGUGCAGGGAUGGGCCAGCCUGAGGCAGAUGAGCUGCAGCCCCGCAGGGUCCCUUCUUCAGCAAGGAGGAUAGGGUGACAGCUGGGUCGUCUCUGCAGGACCGAAUGUGCCCUGCUGCAGAUCAUGAGAACUGAUUGAACUAGGUUCUGAGGGUGAGGAUCAAGAGCCAGCCCAUGAACCUCUGACUCGGUGAGUGAAGCUUCCGGCAGAACAUCCGGCCUGGCAUCCGAGGCGGCACUUAUCUGAAGCCUCUUAUAUGAGGAGGAUCUCAAAAGAAGCAGGGAGAGAGCCUUGGGAGAGGAACCUGGUGCCAGCCCUGGAUACAGAGAUGGAGUCGUGACGGUGUCGGGCCAGCCUGAGAAAUAGCAGGAGACCUGACAUGGCCUAGGGUGGGGCUCUAGGUGCUUGAUGAAAGUGAGAUGGAAGGAGUGCACCGUGGUGACUGCGGAGUCCUCAAAGCCACUGCGACCCUCACCUUUACCUCCUGUCAGCUGGUGAGCUUGGUGGAGUCUCUGUCGCCCAGGCUGGAGUGCAGUGGCGAGAUCUCGG
rnacentral:lncRNA from 1 species